AUGCAGGAUAUCUACAUGGCAACUGUUCAGUGCUGUUUUGUCGUUCCCCCUGCAAACAUUAAUCUGUUUCCUACUAUCCCUGUCUGUCAGCAAUUCCACGGCAGGCAGGGACGCUUGGUCUCAGACAU